CCUACGGGUGGCAGCAGUGAGGAAUAUUGGUCAAUGGCCGGAAGGCUGAACCAGCCAAGCCGCGUGAAGGACGAAGGUGCCAAGCAUUGUAAACUUCUUUUGUCAAGGGACAAAAUCAGGCUCGAGAGUCUGACCGAGGGUACUUGAAGAAAAAGCAUCGGCUAACUCCGGGCCAGCCGCCGAGGUAAUACGGGGGAUGCGAGCGUUAUCCGGAUUUAUUGGGUUUAAAGGGUGCGUAGGCGGACUGUUAAGUCAGCGGUAAAAGCCCGGGGCUCAACCCCGGCGAGCCGUUGAAACUGGCUGACUUGAGAGGUCGAGAGGAAAGCGGAAUGCGCAGUGUAGCGGUGAAAUGCUUAGAUAUUGCGCAGAACUCCGAUUGCGAAGGCAGCAUACCGGCGGCGAUCUGACGCUGAGGCACGAAAGCGUGGGUAUCGAACAGGAUUAGAUACCCGGGUAGUC
rnacentral:rRNA from 1 species